rnacentral:rRNA from 1 species
AAUGAACGCUGGCGGCAUGCCUUACACAUGCAAGUCGAACGGCAGCGGACCUUCGGGUGCCGGCGAGUGGCGAACGGGUGAGUAAUGCAUCGGAACGUGCCAUUGAGUGGGGGAUAACGUAGCGAAAGUUGCGCUAAUACCGCAUAUUCUGUGAGCAGGAAAGCAGGGGGACCGCAAGGCCUUGCGCUCUUUGAGCGGCCGAUGUCAGAUUAGCUAGUUGGUGAGGUAACGGCUUACCAAGGCGACGAUCUGUAGCGGGUCUGAGAGGAUGAUCCGCCACACUGGAACUGAGACACGGUCCAGACUCCUACGGGAGGCAGCAGUGGGGAAUUUUGGACAAUGGGGGCAACCCUGAUCCAGCCAUGCCGCGUGAGUGAAGAAGGCCU